UACAUACUCCCUCCGUCUGGAAAUACUUGUCAUCAAAAUGGAUAGAAGGGGAUGUAUCUAGAUGUAUUUUAGUUCUAUAUACAUCCCUUUUUAUCCAUUUUGAUGGCAAGUAUUUUCGGACGGAGGGAGUAAGCA
rfam:Triticum aestivum genome assembly, contig: Triticum_aestivum_CS42_TGACv1_scaffold_406824_5BL